rnacentral:lncRNA from 1 species
CGUCCUCGUUUGUGUUGCCAUUCUAUUCUUGGCCUUUGAAAAUUGCUUCAGACGUCCUCGUCGUCGGGUCCAAAUUAGAUUUUCCUGUUUAGACCCCGACAAGUUCGUUGGUGUAUUAUUUCACACUUUUGACUGGUACCAAUCCGACUCGCUAACAAUAAUAAUUCAUUAGAUCUAAACCACCAGCCUAAAAUAUUUAAACUCAAUUAUUAUUACUAGCGUAUAUACCUCAUAUAUUUUAAGUAAAAUUAUUUUUCCACCCGAUGUGAAAUUAUUAGGACAUUAUAAUUUUUGCUAAACAUUCUACUGCUCUCUCUCGUUUCGAAGAGAAUU